UUGACUUUUUGUCUUAUUUAAAAUUUUUUGCGAUUAAUAUUUUUAUUAUUCCUAGAUGAUAAAAUAUGAAUAGUACUUUAUUCAUGACUAAUUUUUUUAAAUUUUUGUGAUUUUUUUUAAAUAAGACGAAUGGUCAA
rnacentral:pre_miRNA from 1 species